UACGGAGGGUGCGAGCGUUGUCCGGAAUCAUUGGGCGUAAAGCGCGCGUAGGUGGCUUUGUAAGUCCGUUGUGAAAGUCAAAGGCUCAACCUUUGAAUGCCGAUGGAUACUGCGGAGCUAGAGUACGGAAGAGGCGAGUGGAAUUCCUGGUGUAGCGGUGGAAUGCGCAGAUAUCAGGAGGAACACCAAUAGCGAAGGCAGCUCGCUGGGACGUUACUGACACUAAGGCGCGAAAGCGUGGGGAGCGAACAGG
rnacentral:rRNA from 1 species